GUUCACUGCGAAGUCAUUCAACAAAAUAUAUUUUGUUCUCAGUUCAUUUUAAUCCAACGGUUAUUAUUGUACUAUGAUAAUCGUGAACAUAAAUUACUUAACACCAGUUAUUGUGGGAUAAAAAUGUUGCAGAGUGUAUGUGUACGUGUGAAUGCAAAAUGGUUGUGUUUUUGUAAUGCUCAAUGUUAAAACAAGGUAAUAGAAGAUGUUCUCAUUAUUAUAAGACAAAAGAUCGUCCUUCACACAUUAGUAGAGCAUUGUUGUGCAAACAGGCCUGUUAUCUGCACACCGAACGGCUAUAGGUUUCAACAAGCGUCUGAUUGACGAUCUUCUAGUGGAUUCCCUUGAAGCAAUGGGGCACGCUUCAUGUGUUGAUGAAAAUCAAUCUCCAUUAAGUCGUCUAAAAACUAA
rnacentral:misc_RNA from 1 species